AGCCCUCCCUGAAUUAUCCAUCAUGAAAACAAGGAGAAUAAACACAGAGUAAGACAACAUGGGAGAGUAGAAGAGAGAAAACCAAAUAAGGAAUCUCAAAUGCAGCCUCUCCCUUGCCUCCCAACCAUUGUGAACACAGAUCUCAAUGAACAUUUUGGUGAAUAAGUACCUACUCUAUGUGAACAGAAAGGGAAAGGACAAAAGGAAAGAAAGACAAAAAGGAAAUAUGUUUGCUGUCCUCAAGGAAUUUCCAUUUAGCGGGCAUUAAACAUUCUGAUUUAUAAACAAACAUCACAUUAAAAAUAUUUAUGAAAAUAUUUAUGAAAACAAGAACAGAAAGUCCAAGAGAGGAAAAUGGAAACCAGCAGAAGGCUCUACACGUUACAUUUCCACUACAAAACUAUAGGCAACUUCUGAAGGAAAUAAGAAAAGAUAACAAGUAUUUACCCUUAACCAUGUGCCCUUUAUUCUGCUUGACAAAUGUUUAUUUUGAGCAGCAAGUACACUGAAUAAUUAGUAAUGAAGGCUCAUGAUAUGAAAUCCAUAACUUAAGAUUCAGGACAAAAUAUAUAUACCUGAAAUCAAACAA
ensembl:lncRNA novel transcript